GCCCGCGUAACUCAGUCGGUAGAGUGAUCGGCUUUUACUAGUUGUAUACCAGUUGACCGAUAUGUCCAGAGUUCGAGCCUCUAUGUGGGCG